UCAAAUGUUAUGUUGUUUUAUUUUCAUAUUUUUCAUACAUGUACACAUUACAUACUAUAUCAGGUAAUACACAAACUGAUUGGGGGAUGCGCAUUGUCUGAUAUUAUCAUGUUGUGCUGACUAGCAAAUGCCCUUCCUGUUCACGUUUCAGGCACCUCUCUUAAUUGAUUAUGAUGUCAGACUUCAGAAACAAUGGAAAUAGUGAGAAACAAAGAAGUAUUUCAAGCAAACCAAUGGAUUCUAUUGUUACCAUUCCAUUCUCUCGAAGUUUAUGAAUGGCAUCAAAACUGACCUUCCUUGGUGGCGCAAUACUUCCAUGCAUCGUUGUCAUAUUUAAUUGGCCUUCUGAAAUCACUUUGCACAAACUAAUAUUCUCUAGGACUUCAAGGAAGAAUAUUGAGUCAAGAAAAAGGUGGAUGUCGUGAGGUCUGACUAGACCCUUCUCUGGCAAUCGGUUUGUUGUACUGUAUGAAAUGGUUACUCAGAGACCGUUAAUAUCACGAUGAUAUUGCCAGAUGUAGGCCUUGAUGGUUCAAUUGCUUAUUCUGUUAGAGACAUGUGGAAG